GCCAGACUCCUACGGGAGGCAGCAGUGGGGGAUAUUGCACAAUGGGGGGAACCCUGAUGCAGCGACGCCGCGUGGGUGAAGGAGCGUUUCGGCGCGUAAAGCCCUAUCGGCAGGGAAGAAGCAAGACGGUACCUGACUAAGAAGCCCCGGCUAACUACGUGCCAGCAGCCGCGGUAAUACGUAGGGGGCAAGCGUUAUCCGGAUUUACUGGGUGUAAAGGGGGCGCAGACGGCAGCGCAAGCCAGGAGUGAAAGCCCGGGGCCCAACCCCGGGACUGCUCUUGGAACUGCGCGGCUGGAGUGCAGGAGGGGCAGGCGGAAUUCCUGGUGUAGCGGUGAAAUGCGUAGAUAUCAGGAGGAACACCGGUGGCGAAGGCGGCCUGCUGGACUGCGACUGACGUUGAGGCCCGAAAGCGUGGGGAGCAAACAGGAUUAGAUACCCCAGUA
rnacentral:rRNA from 1 species